rnacentral:lncRNA from 1 species
GUGAAGGAUGAGGACCAGAUUGCAGAAGAGAUUCGAAUGUUGCCUGAUGUUGUUGUGCCGGGGAAGGCAGGAUCUGAGAUCGUUGAGCGCCUGAAGGAGAAGAAGCACACGGAGCACAUGAAGGCUGUGGCCGAUAUGCAAAUGAGCCUGGCCGCUCUCAGUCAGGACUUUGAGAUGCUCAUCAAGCACAGAGCAGAAGACCUCUUGAGGAAGAUGUCACGAUGUGACGAGAACGUGGAGAGGCAGAUGCGGAGAAUGGAGAACAUCUCCGACCUCGAGAUGCUCAGCCUUCAGGAUGUGAACGGGCUCCGGGAUUCCGUGAGUCGGGAGUUUCAGGAGAAGCGGAAGCUGAUCGAGGAGCUGGACCAAGCGCUGAACCAGUACGAACGUGAGAGAACGGCCACGGCUGCUGCUCUGCUGAAGAGGUGCGCCGGGAUCCUGGAGACGAUCGGCCACGCGAGGCCACGCGAUAUCCGACGGCUCGCGGACAGCGAAGCCACGGUAGGCCUCCUCCGUGUCGCCGACCUCUGCGACGGAGGCCCGGUCGUGCAGAGCAGCACACCGGAGAGCAUGAGGCUCUCUCCCCUCAGGCGGUGA